rnacentral:lncRNA from 1 species
AAAUUCUAGGGUUCUUCACCUAGGUUUUGGUGAAAUUGAAGCACUUCCAGGCCAAAUUGGCCUUGGUCUCAGGUAUGAAAGUUGUUCUACUCAUUGAGAUCUUCAAAUCUGGCAAAUUUUGGUAAUUUUUGGAAAUAGUUGAAUUUUCCGGCGAGCCGGGGGCGGCCAACCGCCACCCGCGGCGGCCCGCGCGGCGGCGCGUGGCCAAUGGCCCGCCAAUGUGUCAUUAUUAGCUUGUGAUUAAGGUUCUAGGUUCUGUUUUGAUAAUUGAUGGACGUAAAUUGAAUAAUUGAACCUAAGUUGGUUACGAUUCGGGGUUAGGUGAAAAUGUGAAUUGACGAUCCGACCGUUGGAUCGUCAUCAAACUUUGAUACGUUGUAAUACGUAAUAUUUGAGGAUUAUAGGAACUUACGGAUUGGGAAUCCGAUUUACGGAUAUUCCGGAAUUGGAAUUGUAAGUUCAUAAAAUAGAAUGUUAACCGUCACUUAGUUUUGGAAAUUGACGGAGAUCCGACCGUUGGAUGGUAACGAAAUUUUAGGAUGUUGUCCUAGAGGUAUAUUGUGGACCUCUGGAAGUUUCGGAUUUGAAAUCUGAAUUGCAGAUCAUCCGGAUCGAACUACGUAGUGACGUGUCUUCUAUAAGUUAUGUAUUCUAUCGGCAGGAUUUCUGAGGUUGGGUUUGAUUAUUGUUCUAGGUGCUAAUCUUCAUGACGCCUUGAUGUGUGGUGCGAGGGAGUUGUUGAGCGAACUCCAGGUGAGUGGGCAGUUUUGUUUUCGUAUUACCUUUAUACUAUAAAUUUUUCCCAGAAGACGAAUUUAUACGAAAUUAUGUUUUGAAAAUGCCAUGCAUAGAAUUAUUUGGAAAAUGUGAAUUUCAUAUGAGUUAUAUGAUUGAUAUAUGAUGCAUACAUGUUGCAUGGUGCUGUGGAGGCACAGGUAAGUCAGGUGAGUUCAUUAUUCAUUUAAUUGAUUGUUGAUAAGAUGUUUUCAAGCUCAUAACCUGCACCCUAGGUGUUAGUGCCUUAUUUUAUUCACCACACCGCACGCUCGCCUUGGAUCCAAGUAGGUGGAUGUCGUACAGACCAUGUGAGGGUUCCGACAUGCUAGUCGUAUAGAUCACUAGGCGUGAUGAUUCCGACUAGUGGGUGAUCUUAGUUAUGCGCGCUGAUGAUGAUAUGAUGAAGAAGCCACUAGAGCGUAUUUUUACACCUUUCAUCGUACAGACUACCUUACGUGUAGUUCCGAGUGAUGUGCAGAGUAGGGCCGUAUAGGUCACUGUGGUGACUCCGGCUUAGUGAGAUAUUGAGCUAUUGAAUUUAAUCGUAUAGGACCAACUGCAGGGUCUCCGAUUGAUUCCUUAUUUCACCUGAUUUAUAUUUUUUGAUUUAUGGCAUGGCAUGUUUUUCUUGAAAAAUGUUAAAGAUUUGGGAUUCAAGUUUUGAGAUUUCAUAUGGUUAUAUAUAUAUAUUUUUCUGAAAAGUGUUAAAGGUUUGAGAUUUGAGAUUUUUGCUUAUAUAUAUGUUUAUACAUAUGCUAUUUUCUGGGAAAGUAUACAGGUUUUUACGGUGAGGGGUUAGAAUUAUAAAUUUUUUAAAUGAAAAGUUUUCGAAAAACUUUGUUUUUACUGACCCACUCAAUUUUGUUUUGCGCCCCUCCAGGUUCAAGUUAGCAGAGCUUUGGUGGCCACGAGGAAUCCAACGGUGUUAUGACAGAAUUCACAAAAGUAGGACUCACCCUCGGGUGUGUCAUCUUAGUAAUUGGAAAUUUUUUUUUAAAGCUUCUGAACUAUGUAAAUGGUUACGUCACUCUCACGUGACGGCCAGCACGCCCUCCUUCGGGACGGGGUGUGUCAGUUGGUAUCAGAGCCUAGGUUGCAAUUCUGGACAUCUUGAGAAUUUCCUAGUGUCUUCUGUCAGAACUAUACCGCCUCAUAGCGAGCCACGUAGUUCGGAUGAGCCUAAAUUCCUGAUGAUAUAGUAGUUUGGGGGGAAAAAUUAUUGUCACUAUGAUUCAGUCUAUUAUCUAAAGGAACCUU